rnacentral:rRNA from 1 species
UAUAAGCCUCACUGGGUCAGUAUGUAAUCUAUUUCUUUUUAAUAGUGUUGGACUAGUUACUUCUAUUAGACCCGAAGCCAGGUGAUCUUUCCAUGGCCAGAUUUAUAACGGAUCGUACGGGUGAAUGUUGCAAAAUUCUCCGAUGAGCUUUGGAAAGUUGUGAAAUGCAAACCUAACCUGGUGAUAGCUGGUUUUCUACGAAACAUAUUUAAGUAUGACGUCUACACAAGAUUUAUGAUGGUACAGUACGGCAGUUUCAAAAUAGUAAUAAUUGAAUUCAAUUAUUAUGACUUAAGUAUGAGGGGGCCUAGAAAUCUUACCGUUGGAAGUGAAACUCGAAAUAACAUAAAUUGAUGGUAGACUUUCAGACUGCUCAUGCGAAGUUGGGUAGUCCAGACGAAAACAGUCGAGAGCACGAAUUUAAGGUCCCGAAUGAUGACUAAGUGAAAUUAAGGAUGUGACACAUUGAAUGCAGCUGUAAAGUGAGCCUGGUAGUCGCUACUUUUAAUGAACGUAUAGUAACAACGCAUCAGCCCAAACCUUCAAUAACUUAUGACACCUGUUUUAAAUUAUAAAGGCAAGAUUGUUGCACCGAAAAUUCAACGGGUCUAAGUAAUCAACCGAUAUCGUGCUGCUUUAUUUCAUAUAUUAAUAGAAUAAAAGUUCAUUAAUUUAUUGUAAUAAGGUGAGGUAGUAGAACAUUCAGAACGAUUGAAAAAUAGUGUUUCAUUGUUUUGACGUAACUGAAGAGAGAAUGCUGACAUGAGUAACGAAAAAAGAAGUUAUAAUACUUCUCGCCGAAUGCGAAAGGGUUUCAGGGCAAGAUUAAAUCACCACUGAGUAAAUGCGGCCUCUAAGAAUUAAAACCAAAGUUUUAUUCGAUGAGUAAUAAACAGAAAGUCCUUAUAGAAAACUAAAAAUAAGGAAAGUUAAAAACUUUCUAUUUUUAGAAUUAGGGCCUAGAAAAGAAUGUUUAAAAUGACUACCGUACCCUAAACCGACACUGGUUCGCUGGUUGAGAAUACUAAGGCGUAGAGCGAAGACUUGUUAAGGAACUCGGCAAGAACCCUUCAAAAGUUAGGCGAAAAGAAGGACCACUUUAACUUCACUUAGCUAUAAGUGAAUAUUUCAGGUGGUGGCACAAAAUCGGAGGCCCCGACUGUUUACUUAAAACAUAAGAAUCUGCAAUGAUUAAUCUCGUGGUAUAGGUUCUGAAAUUUGCCCAAUGCCAUUAAUAUAAGUGCGGUUAUGAAAGUGACUAAUCGAAUGUCUGGUUAAUAGCGGUCUUAACUAUGAGGAUCCAAAGGUAGCAAAAUCAGUUGGCCAUUAAAUGUGGUCUUGUAUCAAUAAUGUAACGAUGGCCUCACUGUCUCUACAAGUCGCUCAGUGAAAUUGAAUUGUGAGUGCAGAUGCUCACUACCUCCGGGGGGACGGGAAGACCCUAUGCAGCUUUACUGUAGUUAGUUAUCACAUUAAUCUACAACAGGUCUGGUCAAUAGUGAUUAGGGAUGUCGAUAGACGGAAUAUGGAACACCUUCCGAUCAGAACUGGGUUAAUGUUUACCUUGAUCUCGUAAGGAGUUGAGGGAGAAUUGACUAAUUGACAGUUUGACUGGGGCGGUCGUCUUUAAUAGAGUAGCAAAGUACAUCCGAUUAUAUUUUAAAUAUUUUAAUAUUUGACCAAAUUAACAUUGUUUUAUCCAUUUUAAUCUGAAGUAUUAUUAUAAUUCUAAGCCUAAAGGGCUCUCAACUUAAAGUUUAUUUGAGGGUUUUUAAUAAAAGCCCAAUCAUAAAACUAAUUCAAAUAUUUAAUACUAAUUGAUAAAAGGAAUUUAAACAAUGCACCAAUAGUAGCUCUCCCACCAUAGAGAUGGGGUAAGGAUUAAAUUUCGUACCGAUUAUUGUGUGAAAAAAUAAUUAUAUCAUAAUUAUCAAAAAAAAAUACGAACUAAACUUAAUUUAUAAUACUUCUUUUUUUUUUAUAUAACAAUUUUUUUAAAUGUAGAGAUAAACUUAUAAAAAGAGAAUAAGAGAAUUAAAUUAAAUUUACUGAACUUUAUUUUCACUUUUCUUUCAUUUUUAUUUAAAAAGGUAGAGCUAGAAAUUGAAUGGGGAUCAAUCUGCCAGUGAAACGGCGGCGGAAAGAGCGUAAUGGCGGAAAGCAUGCCUAACUGAAAGACCUAUAAGUCGCACAGAUACGUAAGUAGGGCAUAGUGACCCUUCGAUAUAAUAUGGAAUAGACGGGGAUCAA